AGAUGGUGCCUAUGCUGUUGGUCUACAGGCUGUAUUUUAUAUAGCAGGGUUUGGUACAAUCUUUCUCAACCAGACCUGGAAGAGAAGUAGGUUCUAAUGUCCUAAUAAUAUAUUUUCUGUAAUGAAUUAAUUUUAUUUCAGUAUGCCUAGAAUGGUGUGUGAUAUGUACCAUCCUUAAGAGAACUGUGAAAAUAGUCGUUAAAUCAUGUUUUGUUUCUUCUGUGCUUGGGUUGAAGCUCAUAUCAAUUAGGAUUAAAUUCAGGUUUAACCAACCAGAAGUCUGUGCAAUGAUUUAGAUACACAAGAAUUAUCUAUCUUAACAGAGAGAAGCAGGGGUUAGUAGUCCAGGGUUCCAGAGAAUUUUGUUUUUUUCUUCUUCCGUUGUUCUCAGAGUGUACAGGCCAGGUCUUGUGUAUGUUGUCUCAGGUUGUAACAUGGCUGCUGCUCUGCAAGCUCACAUCCACUAUCCAGGCUGAAGCCAGAAGAAGUGGGAAGAGAAAAACCAAAGGACAGUGCCCUCUGUAAACCACUUUUAAAAAACGUUUCUCAGCAGCUACUCUUUAGAGGUAUGAUGGAUCUCCCCACAAAGUCUGGUUCAGGUGUCAAGACCUACACACCAAGAAACGAUGAGAAGAAUUAUCAUUCACAUGAGACUUUCUGGGGCAAGCAGAGUGGCUACCAAACAGGUCUUAAAAUGGCUUGAGAAAUCCAGCCAAUAUUGGUGAGUUGUAUUUUUGUGCCAUUUUUUUCAAAUUAAAUUUAUUCAUAUGAAGUUGUUCAUAAUAUUCUCCUGUUAUAUUUUAGCUAUUUGUAGAAUCUACAUUCUUGAUAUUGGUAAUGUUUUGUUCUCUACUUAUACCUUGAACAAUAUUGCUUAGUUAGAUCUUCAUCAAUUGUAUUAGUUUUCCUUGGUCCAACUUUUGACUUUAUUCAUUUUCCCUUUUGAAUACUUGUUUUCUAUUUUAUUAAUUUCUGCUGUAAUUUUGUAUAAUGUCUUCGCUUUUCCAAGUUUGAAUUGCUUUUCUUUUUCUUCCUCAAGAACAUAGUGUGUUUCAUAAACGUUGUGAUAUGGUUUGGCUCUGUCCCCACCCAAAUCUCAUCUUGAAUUCCUAUAUGUUGUGGGAGGGACCCAAUGGGAGGUAACUGGAUGUGGGGGCCAGUCUUUCCCAUGGUGUUCUCUUGGUGGUGGGUGGGUCUCAUUAGAUAUGAUGGUAUCAUAAGGGGGAGUUUCCCUGCACAAACUCUUUUUUCUUUGCCUGCUGCCAUCCAUGUAAGAUGUGACUUGCCCCUCCUUGCCUUCUGCCAUUAUUGUGAGGCUUCUCCAGCCAUGUGAAACAGUAAAUCCAUAUUAAACCUCUUUCUUUUGCAAACUGCCCAGUCUUAGGUAUGUCUUUAUAAGCAGCAUGAAUAUUGACUAAUAUAUGUCACAUGUGUACUUGAAAAAAUGUAUGAAUCAUAUUGUUAUUGGAUGCAAUAUUCUUCAUAAGUCCAUUAGGUCAAGUUUCAAAUAUUUUUGUUUAUAUAUUGUAUAUUCUUUCUGAUAUUUUUUCCUACUUGGGCAGUUAACUAAUGAGUGAGAUAUAUUAAAGUCUAGGUGUCUGCUGAUUUGUCUAUUCCUCUUUUAGUUCUGUCAAAUUUUGCUAUAUAUGGUUUUAAGGUAUGUUUUAUGUGAUUCAGAUUUAGGAUUAUGGUAUCUUCAGUUGAUCCUUUUUCAUUACAAAAUGUCCCUGUUUUCCCAUAGUCUAUUUUGUCUACUAUUAUUACAGCUUUAUCAGCUUUAUUUUUGUUGAUAUUUGCUCGUGUGUUGUAUUACUUUUAUAUUCAACCUUGUAUAUUCUUAUAUUUAAAGAGUAACUUUUCAAAGCACCAUGAAGUUGGAUUUUGUCUUGUUUAUUCUAAUCUGACAAUCUUUGAGGACUACAAAGAGUAGUCAAUUUGCUUCGAAUGUAAUUACUGACACAUAUAGAGUUCUAUUUAGCCU
rnacentral:lncRNA from 1 species